rnacentral:piRNA from 1 species
GAGCCAAAAUAAUGGGUUCACAUCUCGGC